UGGGGAAUAUUGCACAAUGGGCGCAAGCCUGAUGCAGCCAUGCCGCGUGUAUGAAGAAGGCCUUCGGGUUGUAAAGUACUUUCAGCGGGGAGGAAGGUGUUGUGGUUAAUAACCACAGCAAUUGACGUUACCCGCAGAAGAAGCACCGGCUAACUCCGUGCCAGCAGCCGCGGUAAUACGGAGGGUGAAAGCGUUAAUCGGAAUUACUGGGCGUAAAGCGCACGCAGGCGGUCUGUCAAGUCGGAUGUGAAAUCCCCGGGCUCAACCUGGGAACUGCAUCCGAAACUGGCAGGCUUGAGUCUUGUAGAGGGGGGUAGAAUUCCAGGUGUAGCGGUGAAAUGCGUAGAGAUCUGGAGGAAUACCGGUGGCGAAGGCGGCCCCCUGGACAAAGACUGACGCUCAGGUGCGAAAGCGUGGGGAGCAAACA
rnacentral:rRNA from 1 species